AGAGUUUGAUCAUGGCUCAGGACGAACGCUGGCGGCGUGCUUAACACAUGCAAGUCGAGCGGUAAGGCUCCUUCGGGAGUACACGAGCGGCGAACGGGUGAGUAACACGUGAGCAAUCUGCCCUUCACACGGGGAUAACUUCGGGAAACCGAAGCUAAUACCCGAUACGACCACUUCAGGCAUCUGAUGGUGGUGGAAAGUUCCGGCGGUGAAGGAUGAGCUCGCGGCCUAUCAGCUUGUUGGUGGGGUAAUGGCCCACCAAGGCAACGACGGGUAGCCGGCCUGAGAGGGUGACCGGCCACACUGGGACUGAGACACGGCCCAGACUCCUACGGGAGGCAGCAGUGGGGAAUAUUGGACAAUGGGCGAAAGCCUGAUCCAGCAACGCCGCGUGAGGGAUGACGGCCUUCGGGUUGUAAACCACUUUCAGCAGGGACGAAGCGCAAGUGACGGUACCUGCAGAAGAAGCACCGGCCAACUACGUGCCAGCAGCCGCGGUAAUACGUAGGGUGCGAGCGUUGUCCGGAAUUAUUGGGCGUAAAGGGCUCGUAGGCGGUCUGUCACGUCGGGAGUGAAAACACGGGGCUUAACCCCGUGCCUGCUUCCGAUACGGGCUGACUAGAGGUAUGCAGGGGAGAACGGAAUUCCUGGUGUAGCGGUGAAAUGCGCAGAUAUCAGGAGGAACACCGGUGGCGAAGGCGGUUCUCUGGGCAUUACCUGACGCUGAGGAGCGAAAGUGUGGGGAGCGAACAGGAUUAGAUACCCUGAUAGUCCACACCGUAAACGUUGGGCGCUAGGUGUGGGACUCAUUCCACGAGUUCCGUGCCGCAGCUAACGCAUUAAGCGCCCCGCCUGGGGAGUACGGCCGCAAGGCUAAAACUCAAAUGAAUUGACGG
rnacentral:rRNA from 1 species